GGCUCAUUAAAUCAGUUAUCGUUUAUUUGAUAGUACCUUACUACUUGGAUAACCGUGGUAAUUCUAGAGCUAAUACAUGCUAAAAACCCCGACUUCGGGAGGGGUGUAUUUAUUAGAUAAAAAACCAAUGCCCUCUGGGCUCUUUGGUGAUUCAUGAUAACUUCGCGGAUCGCAUGGCCUUGCGCCGGCGACGGUUCAUUCAAAUUUCUGCCCUAUCAACUUUCGAUGGUAAGGUAUUGGCUUACCAUGGUCUCAACGGGUAACGGGGGAUUAGGGUUCGACUCCGGAGAGGGAGCCUGAGAAACGGCUACCACAUCCAAGGAAGGCAGCAGGCGCGCAAAUUACCCAAUCCCGACACGGGGAGGUAGUGACAAUAAAUACUGAUACAGGGCUCUUUUGGGUCUUGUAAUCGGAAUGAGUACAAUUUAAAUCCCUUAACGAGGAACAAUUGGAGGGCAAGUCUGGUGCCAGCAGCCGCGGUAAUUCCAGCUCCAAUAGCGUAUAUUAAAGUUGUUGCAGUUAAAAAGCUCGUAGUUGAACCUUGGGCCUGGCUGGCUGGUCCGCCUCACCGCGUGCACUGGCAUGGCCGGGCCUUUCCUCCUGGAGAGCCCCAUGCCCUUCACUGGGCGUGUGGGGGAACCAGGACUUUUACUUUGAAAAAAUUAGAGUGUUCAAAGCAGGCCUUUGCUCGAAUACAUUAGCAUGGAAUAAUGAAAUAGGACGUGCGGUCCUAUUUUGUUGGUUUCUAGGACCGCCGUAAUGAUUAAUAGGGACAGUCGGGGGCAUCCGUAUUCAAUUGUCAGAGGUGAAAUUCUUGGAUUUAUUGAAGACGAACUACUGCGAAAGCAUUUGCCAAGGAUGUUUUCAUUAAUCAGUGAACGAAAGUUAGGGGAUCGAAGACGAUCAGAUACCGUCGUAGUCUUAACCGUAAACUAUGCCGACUAGGGAUCGGGCGAUGUUAUUAUCUUGACUCGCUCGGCAC
rnacentral:rRNA from 1 species